rnacentral:rRNA from 1 species
UAGUGAAUCUUCGGCAAUGGGGGGAACCCUGACCGAGCAACGCCGCGUGAGUGAAGAAGGUUUUCGGAUCGUAAAGCUCUGUUGUUAAGGAAGAACGAGUGUGAGAAUGGAAAGUUCAUGCUGUGACGGUACUUAACCAGAAAGGGACGGCUAACUACGUGCCAGCAGCCGCGGUAAUACGUAGGUCCCGAGCGUUGUCCGGAUCUAUUGGGCGUAAAGCGAGCGCAGGCGGUUAGAAAAGUCUGAAGUGAAAGGCAGUGGCUCAACCAUUGUAGGCUUUGGAAACUGUUUAACUUGAUGGCAGAAGGGGAGAGUGGAAUUCCAUGUGUAGCGGUGAAGUGCGUAGAUAUAUGGAGGAACACCGGUGGCGAAAGCGGCUCUCUGGUCUGUAACUGACGCUGAGGCUCGAAAGCGUGGGUAGCGAACAGG